UCAGAGCCCGUUAAUGGGUGAUGGCGUGCCUUUUGUAGAAUGAACCGGCGAGUUACGAUUUGAUGCAAGGUUAAGCAGUAAAUGUGGAGCCGUAGCGAAAGCGAGUCUGAAUAGGGCGUUUAGUAUUUGGUCGUAGACCCGAAACCAGGUGAUCUACCCUUGGUCAGGUUGAAGUUCAGGUAACACUGAAUGGAGGACCGAACCGACUUACGUUGAAAAGUGAGCGGAUGAACUGAGGGUAGCGGAGAAAUUCCAAUCGAACCUGGAGAUAGCUGGUUCUCUCCGAAAUAGCUUUAGGGCUAGCCUCAAGUGAUGAUUAUUGGAGGUAGAGCACUGUUUGGACGAGGGGCCCCUCUCGGGUUACCGAAUUCAGACAAACUCCGAAUGCCAAUUAAUUUAACUUGGGAGUC
rnacentral:rRNA from 1 species